rnacentral:rRNA from 1 species
UAAUGUCUGGGAAACUGCCUGAUGGAGGGGGAUAACUACUGGAAACGGUAGCUAUACCGCAUAAUGUCGCAAGACCAAAGUGGGGGGACUUCGGGCCUCAUGCCAUCAGAUGUGCCCAGAUGGGAUUAGCUAGUAGGUGGGGUAACGGCUCACCUAGGCGACGAUCCCUAGCUGGUCUGAGAGGAUGACCAGCCACACUGGAACUGAGACACGGUCCAG